rnacentral:rRNA from 1 species
UACGUAGGUGGCAAGCGUUGUCCGGAAUUAUUGGGCGUAAAGCGCUCGCAGGCGGUCUUUUAAGUCUGAUGUGAAAUCUUACGGCUCAACCGUAAGCGGUCAUUGGAAACUGGAGGACUUGAGUACAGAAGAGGAGAGUGGAAUUCCACGUGUAGCGGUGAAAUGCGUAGAGAUGUGGAGGAACACCAGUGGCGAAGGCGACUCUCUGGUCUGUAACUGACGCUGAGGAGCGAAAGCGUGGGGAGCAAACAGG